CCAUAGUUUAGUCAAUUCAUUGCAUUCUUCAGAUUCCAUACCCCUUUAUCAUCCAUGACAUCACUAAAAUCAUAAUUCUCAUCAUAUUCUUCAAACAUUUCAUUCCAACCUUCUAGAUCUUACUUCAUCAGAUAUUUCCCAAAAAUUUAGAUCAUUUUUUAGAUAAAUAUGUUCCAGAAUCUACAUGUUCCAAGUAAUCAUAUACUGAUUCAUAAGACAAUCCAAGAACAAUUAUUUUUUCUGCCAAUGAUGUUGUUAUUGCAAAAGUGGUUCUUCCAUAAUGAACUAAUUUAAACUCAACCCAUGCUAAUUCUGUAAUUUCAUGAGAUAUUAUGAAAAACCUUACUUCUUUUGGAUCAAUUAUAAAAGGUUUUGUCACAAUCCUUGAACUAACCACAUUUUUAUGGGAUCACGCCAUUCUUAUCUUUUAUUGUUAUCAGAUAAUGAGUGGCAUUUAGAUGUCCAUCAUUUACCUCCGUUUUGUGUUAUUGUUAAUGUAAUGGGUGCCAUGCUUGAAUAUUAUUUAUAGGCUUUGUAAAUUCUCUUGAACAUGAAUUGUUUGAAUUUGAUGAGCUGAGAGAACACGAUAUUCUGAAGGUGAGAUAGAACGUCAAAUGUAUUGACUAUUCUCAAUUUUCAAAUUUAAACCAGCAUCUUUUGGGUUAAUAACCUUUUCUGAAUCAAAUGAACCCUUUAACAUUCUAUAAUUGUAUACCUGCUGUCUGUCCAUUAAAGUAACAUCACUGUACAAAGUUUUUGUUUUGUGUAUGAAGAGUCUAUAUUGCAUGAUUGUUAAUUGAGUCAUGAUAUUCCAUCACCCAGAGCUGGCUAUUGUGGAGUCCUGUGUGGUAUAUUGCUGGGGGUGGUAACAGGAAAAAAUGUAUGUCUCACAGUCUGAGAAGAACGCAUUCAAACUUCUCCAAUCUGUUUCUUCAACCGUGCAACUCUAAAUGAGGAACAUAAUUUCUUUUUGAUGUCAGGUUUAAUGUGACAAUUUGGCUUAUUGCCUACUCUUUUCAUCUAUAUUUGUCGCGAUGGUGACCAUCUCAUGUGUGGUUUGGGACUUUGGGACCUAUGUAUGCAUUCUAAGGAGAAGAUUAAAAGCAGAACGAAGAAUAUACUUAUAUUUAUUAAAAGUGGAAAGAAUAAUAUAAAAUCAAAGAGAAGGAAUACUCAUGUAACUCUUAUUACUUGAAAGAAAGGGAAAAUGGCAAAAUUAGUUGGCACUCUAGACUAUUGGUUUGAAUUUAUUAUAAUUUUGCUAUUGUUUAGUUCUUUGGAUCUUAUUGCCUUUGGUUGUGUAGUUAUUUGGUAUCUCUAAAGAAUCCAAUGACUCACACUUAUGCAUGUCACCUAAUUUGCAUUUUAGCUUUCUUUUUUCCUUAACUUUUCUUUCUAUUCUAUUCUCUCUGUUUUCCCGGACAUACAAAAAUCUUGAUUUUUGAUGUUUUAAAACGUGAGUAGUCUGUUUCUGUUGCAUAUCCUCCAUCUUCUAUCAUCACUGCCAAAGUACAAUUUGUUGAUUUUGCAGCUUGUUACAGUGUCACCACCAUGCCGUUUUUCAAGAAACAUUUCAAUUUUUAAGUGGUAUCGGUGGCAUGGUAUUCCUAUUCUCUCUCUCUCUCUCUACAAAUACAGUGUGUGCUUGUGUGUUUAGUUUGAGCUUCUUCUUUUAUGGCGAUAGAAAUACUCCAUCAGAUUGGCAAGGGUAUUCUACUUGAAGACAUGAGAAUGCUACUGCAAUAAUUCAAGUCCUCAGUCAGAUACUUAUCUAUUCAAUUGAUGUAUCUGUGAUGAUGUUAUCUUGCAUUUAAUUUCAACUCUAAGUUGAUUAAUUCAAACUCUCAUCACUCCUGUGAACCUUUUA